ensembl:lncRNA
UUUUUUUUUUUUUUUUUUUUUUGGAGAGGGAACAGAUGAAAUUUGAAAGAAAUUAAAUUUGAAUUAAGAGCCUAGGGCAAUGGCUGAUUUCCACUUCAGUAGACACCAGAGAUGGGCAAGGCAAUCUCAGCUAUGGUGCUGUCUGAAGGCUGAUGCUUUUGCUUCAGUAGCAUUGAAGUGCCACCCACCAUCAGCUGAAGUUUUGUUCACUCUGUAGAGCCAGCCCCUGUGAUGUUCUGGUCUGGAAUUUACAGGAUUACCAGCUAUUGAAAAUAAUUCAAACAAAAUCACUACAGAUACACAAACCUAAUUGCUUGACAGUGUUGUGCUUGCAGAUAAAAAGCAGAUAUUUAGUCCUGAGUUUUGGAGGUGCUUAGUCAGUGCUGAAGAAGUGAAAAUCUAAGGUGGGAAGUGCUUCUGACAUUAAAAACGGGACUUGCACACUGCAAAAAGUAUUCCAGUAUAGAAGAUUUAAAACAUACAGUGACUUUACUUCCUCCCACCUUUUGGAUCAGUCACUAUUGCAGUUAGCUCAAAAAAACUAAGGCAAACCACAGCCAAAACUGUGGAUCUGCAUAUGGCUUUGACUCAAAACUGUGCAAAAAUGCAGCCCUUCAAUGGUUUGGGGAGUUGAAAUCAUAAUUCCCCUCCUCCCUCUGGUUCCUAAUUCCCACUGGGAAGGAUACUCUUGAGAAAACUGAUUUCUGCUGCUCCCCAAAUCGGCCUCAGUUUGCUGAGAAGGGCCAUGAAGAAGUUAGGGGAUCUGAGCUGAGAGUUUGUGUUUUAACAGUGAACCCCAUAGCUGAACUCUGGAGAGGUCUUAGGUGGUUCUAUUUAGAAGCUACAGCUUUUAUCAAAUUAGUUAUAGCUCCCCAUGGGCCUAGAUCUAGGCCAGUUUUAAAAUGAUCAUGGAGUCUAUUAUAUUUAAAUAUGUACUCCAUUCACAGCUUGAGUGGUAGCAGUGCAACUUCUAAACCAGGUCAAUGACUAAUCAAAGGCAGUUUGUACUAAAAAAGAAAAAAAAAAUGUGGCACAUGCAUGACUUCUAGAUGAGGCCUUGUGCCCCACACUCUUCCAAUUUGGGGUUUGGCAGCUCUGGUGUCACUGGGAUCCCAGAUCACUUCUGGGCAUUACCCUGAUGACUCUUUGAAGACAUUCUGCUGUUUUACACAGUUUUAAGUACUAAGUGGCCAUAUGAUGGUAAAGCUAUUAAGGGUGUGUUUGUACCAUCUUGAGGAUGACAGUUCCUCAUGCACACUGGUAUAAUGUUACACAUGCAAGCGUCUCCACACAUAACUGGGCCCACAUAAAGGUGCCAUAUAUCAAGUCCUUGUAUCAAGUGCCAUAUAUCAAAUUGAUUUCUAAAGCUGUAGUGGGAUUGAUACCACCUGAUUUCAGGGCUUUUCACAUCUCUCAGUCAGGCAACUGGGCUCCCUUUGUAGUUAAGAGAGAAACAGGCACUCAAAAGGUUCUGGAUAUGUUGAUUUCUGUCCUAUCAGAGGAGUCCAGAGUUUUGUUUUGGAGCUGCCAUCCCAGCACCCAAUCCUCCUGCUCCCCCUGCCACUCAUGUCUCCCUGCAUCCCUGACUGAUUGUAGCUUCCUCAGGAAACACGUGUGGGCAGGAAACACAGUCAGCCACACCACGUAACCCCGGCAGAAACACACAGUGCUGCAGCCAGAGAGCCUUUCUGAAGGUGGGGGAAGCUCCAAGAUACAUCUUGGGAAAGGGAGAGACUCAGGUAUUUGUCAUGGACAGCCAAGAGACUAGAAACACAGUGGUCCUGAAUACUCUUGAUAAACCCAGCAUAGGAACCACAUUGCACACCAGCAUGCUCUGCUAGAAUUUCUUCCUGAUUUUACAGAUUCUUAUUUUUUUGUCUUAACUUUCCUCAUUCUCUUCAGGCCUUUUAAGUCUCCAUAUCUCGUUUGUCUCAAGACAUCACUCUUCAGGGUGCCCCCCACGCCCCUGGCCCUGUCAGGGUGGCAGCCUGGAGAGCCCUUUAGGGACAGGGCCAGUCCCACCCCGGGCUUGGUUGGCCCUGCUGGGCCAUUCCAGCCUUUUGCUGGAAGAUGCCCAGGGCUGCUUCAGCUCUGAGCUACAGGGGAAGCCAGGACACAGGGAAACUGGCCAACAACCCAAACCCACCCUGGGAGUGUGUACAAACAGAUCUGGCAAUGAGCCUGGCCUCCCAGGAGCUCAGGGAGAAAUACCACCACGAGCAAAUGUAAAACAUGAAGAGAGGAGGACGAAGAAAUAGCCGAGCUUUUCAGAUGAUUUGAGGCAGGAUCUAGUGGGUGUUUCACUCCUUUCAGUUUCCUCUCAAAACCCUGGCUCACAGUGAUAAGAUCACAUGGUUGCACAAGCCAAUUAUUGCACAAUUUUGUUCCAGGCGGUUUAAGAGGCUGCGUGUUGUUUUUUAAUAUACACUGCCCCCUCUGGCAUCCCUCUCUGCUGCUGCCUGGCUGCCAGGGGCCAAGCUCCCGCAGCAAUCCGGAGUGCCAGGGAAGGGGAGCAGCGCUGCAGAGAACCAGAGUGAGACACAGUUUUAUGGAUCACGUCAGCUAGGACAUGCCAUGUCCUCAGGCAGCAUAGGAGGAAGUGGGAAGAUGUUGGUCGGAGAAGCUGGCAAGAAAGUGCUGUCAUUUCUGGAGCACAGGAGGUGUAAGAAGAUUUUUCUGUCUCCAAGUGCCAUUCACAUUCCUGUAGCUGGCACUGCAUGGUGACAGGGUUCAAAUUAUUUGACUUCCAUUUAUUUUUGUUUCUUUCACGGUUUUCCUUAGCUAUGUCAGCACUUAUAUAACCAUCGGGCUCUGAUAUUAACACCGCAUUAAAAUGAGCAGGGAAUAGGAUUCACACUGCUGCUGGUUUUGCUUAGAGACAGGUGUUCUCUGAGAUGGCUGAAUGACAGUAGAUUUUUAUGGGGAAAACUAUCUUUAUAACAGAUAAGGCUAAGAAUAGACAAACUCCUUGGCUUGCACUCAUCUUUCAAAGAGACAUCCAGAUGGGAAUCCUGAGUCCAGUGAGUCAGACCGUCUGUGCAAGAUGAGGGGGCAGAGGGCUCCUUCUUUGCAAAUCUUCUUGCCAGAUAAGCAGGAUUUAGAGAGCAUUUUCCCUCCAUGAAAGCUCCCUGUGAUCCCACAGAGAGCUGGGGCACCCUGCAGCAGGUUCUGGCUGUGGGCAGGACGGCAGCUGUGCUGUUCCUUAGGCAGUACAGCCAUCAGCAUGUCCCUCACUGGGGGCUGCACGUCAGGAAGGGCCUUUGCACACUGGGAAAAUGCUUCCAAAGAAGGGAAAUGUGAUGGCACUGUUCCACAAGAGGAAAUGAUGUAGAUAUGUGUUCAAAUAUCUGAGAGAAAGGGCCUGUCCCUCUGAUCAGAUCAAAGGUUUUUGCUCAAAAAAGAGAAAGGAGAUGGUGGUCCAGCUAGGCUAAAUUUAUUCUCUUUGCGAGGUACCAGUUGCCUCCCUUGCUGGCAGUUGGGAGGGCAGACAAAAGCCAAUAUUCUAAAGCAAGAAUAGUUGAAGAGCAAGGUGGUGUGAUGACUCUUUCAAGCUGCCUCUGUUAUUUUUCUACAUGAGAGGCAUUAAUCCCUUACUUGAUUGGAUGUUCCAAAAUGAAUUUUGUCUUGAAGGUACUUCUGAGACAGCACAAAAGUGCUGGCUAGAUAAACACAACACUGAAUUUGGGAUUCUUUUUUCUUUUCCAAAGUGUUUUCAAAGAAUUUAGGAUAACUGCCUUUGAAUUAAGUGGUUUUAGGAGUCAUGCCUCAGGAGGGAACUAGGUCAUUCAGAAACUCCAGUGGACUGCUGCCAGAAACAAUUUCCUUUAAAAGCAGUAAUUGUAUAAGUGAAAUGAGAAUACAGAAAUUCUUAGUCUUACACCUCCAAGUUGAGGGUUAAGUGAGAUAUCUGUUGAAGGAGCAUCCUUACAAUAAAAUCACGGGCCCCUAGGGUACCAUCAGCAAACUGGUUAUUCAUUUACCUCCAUAUAUAACUGUGUUUGUGUGAAUGACAAAUAGGAGGAAAAACUACACUGUUGAAGAAAAACGCAGCUAUACAGCAGAAAUUUCUUUAAAGCUGUAAAGAUAAAAAUCCAUAUUUUAUAUGGAUUCACCUACUCUUAAAGUCAAAGCCUAAAGAAAUGUCUUUGGUGUUGAAAGAAAUGGCCCAAUAUGUAUCUUUGCCUCACUGCAGGGUGGCAGGUUUCAGUAUCAUGAAUGCUUCUAGUGUGCAAAGCUAAAUAAAAGGUAUUGCAUAUCCUUUUUGGGAGGGAUUCAUUCUUGAUUCACAUGACAACUUAAUUUAUACAGUCCUUGUUAUAUGAAACAAAUCAGACCAGCUGUUCAGUGUCAGCAACUAGAAAAUGCAGCUUCUGAGAUAAUGGAGGCCAGUAUCACUGCUGUAGUAUGCCAUUACUGGUCCUAUGGGAAAACCUUUUCUAUGGUAAGGAAGAAUAGUACCUGUAUGUACCAUUUAUUUUUAAUUAUUUUACAAGGAAUACUCUAAAAGAAAUGUCCAUGAAGCAAAGCAGUGAAGGAAAGUUGUACUUGUUUCUUGCCAAUGAUUAUAUUUGCUAAGGAGGAGACCAACAGUGGUCCUUUGUCUAUUUUUCUGAGGUGACAGUGUCUUCAGUGUACCAUGCAUCAGUGAAGGAUCACUGCUACUUGUAAAGGGUUUUCAGACGUUCUCAGAGAAAUGAGAUAUUAUAGGAUAAGGUGUUAAUUCUACCUGAUCUUGCUGUUAUCUCUAUAAAUCCCAGAGGCAAAUAACAUGGAUCUUAGCAAAUCACUCCCCACCUAUUAAGAAUGGCAUUUCAGGGCUUGGUAGAGCAGCAAAUUAAUGCUGCAUUCUGGAUGACUGGUUGGAGAGAUCUGAUCAUCUCUUUUUCUGCUCAUGGAUUUUAAAUUUUCAGUAUUCAAGGAUGCUGACAAAUACUGUUUUCCCAUCCUCUGUAAUGUCAUCUGUAUAACCCAGUGCAGCAUUGUGAAACAAAUGUACCUCUUUUGUAUUCAUAACACAUGUUUUUCUUUUGCUUACGCCCUGCGUUCAGAAUAACUGAGGUCCUGAUCUAUAACACAGCCUAAUAGCCAUAGUGAGAUACCAGUCUGCUUUGUGGUUCCUUAAGUUUCUGGUUAGCCUCAUGGAAAUCAGUUGCUUGUUUGGGAGGGGAUGGUUUUGUGUCUGUCAGGAGCAGUGAUUCAGAGGAGAGAAUUGGUAUCAUUAUGUAAGAAAACAGCCUGAAACUUCUGGCAGGUAUCAGUUUCACAGGAGAAGUUAAAAAGAGAGAUGUCUAAGCAUCGAGUGAAACCAGUUUCUCCCUUUUUCAGAUUUUCCCCUAACCUUUAUAAGUCACUUGUUGCGUGUCAAAGACAAGGUCUUAGGCAUGAGCACAGAUUUGGACUUCAUCAAAUGCCACCUAAAAUCCCUGUGGAUAUGUGGGCAGCAGGUGGAAUUUGUUGUUCAGAUGUUUCCAGAGGCUCUCACAGAAGACUCCCCUGGGCAGAACUGGCCAGAUAUUUUCAUCAGCUAAAGAUACUUCUGAUGGGAAGCUGUGUAGGUGCCGCUAAGUACUGGCAUUUAUCUGGCAGCAGAUCAGGCAAACAACCAGUGUCCCACACCCCCUCCCCACAGUACCAAGUCAUGGAACAUCUCUGUCUGCAGAAGUGGUCCAGGAAGGUCUUUGUCAGAACCCCAAUCCAAAGUUCACCUGACUGCUCUGGUCUCCUCAGUAUAUCCCACUGGUGCUGUUGAUGGCAGAUGAAUCUCCCUCCAUUUCCCUCUGGAAGCAUACUCUGAACCUUCCAUUAAGCUGUUUAUGCCCUUGCUUAUGACCAGAAGCAGAGAUUGAGAAACUGAGCCCUUUAGCAUGUAGGACCAGUAGGGCUAAAUUCAGGAACAACAUCUCACCCCUGCUUUUGGAGGUCAACAACCCCUUCCUUCCUGUCUGAGUGCAGGGGAAGCACUGCCCUCUGAUGUAGGAAUUUCAUCCAGCUGCAGCCCCUCUUUCUGGAAGCACAGCUCCUUCCUUCAGUUUUUGGAGCAAAGUCACCACCUCUGAUCCUGAGGCCACAUGUAUGCUUUAGAUACUCCACAAGAUCCCCUUCUCCUAUAUUUAGAGAUACCUGCACACUGAUACUCUGCAAUUUAUUUACCACACUGUGGUUUUUAGAGGAAGACAUCUUAUCUUCCAUGGUAAAAGACCUAGAGCAGCAGGUAAGAGUGGAAGAGAGUUUAGAUUCAAAAUUGCAUCAUAUUAGACCAUGAGGAUUAAAUGUGGAACUCAACAUGUCUCUACAUACAUAAGAUAAUAUUAAAGACAUAGAAAAGAUAACAUUAAAUGUUAGUAAUUUUAUUCGAUCAGUCAAAUUAUUCUCCCAAUAUAAGUACACAAAAAACUUGGCCCUCAUUUCAAAUACUCUAAACUUUAGCAGAAUAAAGCAAUGCCUGCUCUGGGCUGGCACCUCUGUUCAGAUCAUGCAGUGAAUUAUGCUUAGACAAAAAACUAUAUUAAACAGCUAAGUGGAACUUACCAAACUAUCAAAAAUGUUUUAUGUGAAGAAAAUGUAGAAAAUUAGUACUAUUUAUGCAUAGUUAAAACAUAUUUGCCAAAUGCCAAGGAAAUGGGAAAUAUUAAUUAAUAGUGUUUUUUAACAGCAGAAAAUUAAUUGAAAUUAUUCAAAGUCCAAUUCUGUUCUCCUUAUGCUGUGACUAAUCUAAUUGAUUUAAAAAUUUAUUUGUUGAAAAAGCAACUACUCAGCAUGACUAACUUUGGUGGAAUCAAGCCCUCCAUGAACAUUAUUAACCAGUUUUGAAAUACAGCGCUUAUUUUGUGUCCCUCUCCUCAAAGACAGGGAAUUUGAUCCACUUCUUUAUUCACUUCAUUUCCAAGAUGCCCAGAAAAGUGUCAUUGUGAAAUGUGCCAAGUAAAAAACAGAUAGUUAUAAGAGGCACAGAAGUUAGCUGUCCUUACAGGUGAAAACGACUGCUGCGUGUCCGAGCGGUGAAAUCACACUCCUGAAGCGUGCACCGUGGGAAGGCAGCACCUCUGCUGCUGCAGGCUUAGCACCCUCCGUGUCAGAGUGAUGGACUGGGCUUUCCAGUGCCAGCUGAAGGCAGAUGACAUAAAAACACAGCUCAAGAGCAUUCCCUGGAUUUCUCAGGGUGAUCAUGUUCUGCGGCCAUCUGCUGUACAGAGCCAGUGCUCUCAGUGGUGCUCAUUAUGAGACAUGGGUUUAAAGCAAUUAACAUAACCACAGUCUGACAGACAAAAAAAUAUUUAUCCCCUUAGGGAAGAUAUCAACAAAAAGCACAUCUGGAUGCACAGCAAAGCUUCUGGAUCCCUUCCUUGUGGCCUGACUCCAUAAAUGCAGAAAUAUUUGGGGUUUUUUUUCCCUUUAGGAGGACUUUAUGGUUUUUAUUCAGAGGUGUGUUAACAGAAAAAGAUCAGAGAGUAGAGGAGGCAUCCCACAUGUCUCACUGGCAGAUCUCUGGAUUUCCCCAAAAGGAACUCCUAGACUCCUAGUACUGAGUCCUGCUUUUUGAUUUCUUAGUCCUGUGCAGGCAGUUCUGCCAG